GUGUUGGUGAUUUGUCGCAGGGGCUACACCUCUUCCCAUUCCGAACAGAGAAGUUAAGCCCUGUUGAGCUGAUGAUACUCGUCAAGGGGAAAGUAAGCAGUCGCCAACACA
rnacentral:rRNA from 3 species